CCUAUUGCCAUCACGGGAUGUAGUUUUAGUAGAGUCACAUAAAUCAUUAUAUAUCAACUCCAAGAUUGAAGAAUUCUUUCAACUGAUUUGAAUGGUUUUCUUGAUUAUUUAGAUUCAGUACAUAUUUCACACUUAGAUGUAUCUAAGAUUGAUUUGAGAAUAAGCUUUAAAUCCAUCAUAUGUUUGAUUUUUCUUAAGUAUCAUGACCCAAUCUAUCAUACCAC
rnacentral:lncRNA from 1 species